CCGGUUGAUCCUGCCGGAGGCUACCGCUAUUGGAGUUCGAUUAAGCCAUGCGAGUCGCGAGUCUUAGGGACUCGGCGUACCGCUCAGUAACACGUGGGUAACCUGCCCUAUGCUGGGGGAUAACCUCGGGAAACUGAGAAUAAUACCCCAUAGUUCACCACGCCUGGAACGGUGGGUGGACCAAAGCUCCGGCGGCAUAGGAUGGGCCUGCGGCGUAUCAGGUUGUAGGGGGUGUAAUGUACCCUCUAGCCCUCUACGCGUACGGGUGUUGAGAGACAUCGCCCGGAGAUGGAUUCUGAGACACGAAUCCAGACCCUACGGGGUGCAGCAGGCGCGAAAACUUGGCAAUGCGAGAAAUCGUGACCAGGGAACUCCAAGUGCAUCGGGUAAGACCGAUGCUUUUCUUGACUCUUCAAAGGUCUUGGAAUAAGGGGUGGGUAAGGACGGUGCCAGCCGCCGCGGUAAUACCGGCGCCCCAAGUGGUAGUCGCUUUUAUUGGGCCUAAAACGUCCGUAGCCGGUCUGGUACAUUCGUGGGUAAAUCAACCAGCUCAACUGGUUGAAUUCUGCGAGCACGGCCAGACUUGGGACCGGGAGAGGUGUGGGGUACUCUCAGGGUAGGGGUAAAAUCCUGUCAUCCUGAGAGGACCACCUGUUGCGAAGGCGCCACACUAGAACGGAUCCGACGGUCAGGGACGAAGCCUAGGGGCACGAACCGGAUUAGAUACCCGGGUAGUCCUAGGUGUAAACGCUGUGGACUUGAUGUUGGGGGCGCUCCGAGCGCACUCAGUGUCGAAGCGAAGGUGAUAAGUCCACUGCCUGGGGAGUACGGUCGCAAGGCUGAAACUUAAAGGAAUUGGCGGGGGAGCACCGCAACCUGAGGAUUGUGCGG
rnacentral:rRNA from 1 species